GGUGUAGAACUGGGCCGGAUUUUUUCCCAGUCCGGUCCGAAACCCGGAAUCCAAGGCAGUUGAGAGAAACCCGAAUCCGGUUACAGAUCCGGUUUUAUCACCCGGUUAUCCGUAACCGGGUCCCUUUUUUAAAAAAAAAAAAAAAAAAAAAAAAUUCAUGCUUCCAAUUAGUUAUGAUGUGAAGAGUAGCAGCAUUGUAUUAGUAUAAUUAGUCAUGAUGUAUUAUUAUUUAUUUUGUUCUUUGUAAAUUAAUAUUUUGCAUUGUGAUAUAACAACAAUAUUAUUUAUUUAUUUAUUU